UACGUAGGGUCCGAGCGUUGUCCGGAAUUAUUGGGCGUAAAGGGCUCGUAGGCGGUCCGUCACGUCGGGAGUGAAAACUCAGGGCUUAACCCUGAGCCUGCUUCCGAUACGGGCAGACUAGAGGUAUGCAGGGGAGAACGGAAUUCCUGGUGUAGCGGUGGAAUGCGCAGAUAUCAGGAGGAACACCGGUGGCGAAGGCGGUUCUCUGGGCAUUACCUGACGCUGAGGAGCGAAAGUGUGGGGAGCGAACAGG
rnacentral:rRNA from 1 species